GUUUCACCUGCAAUACACGCUUAAAAAAAUACGAAUAAACAGUAAACAGCGGGCCCUGGGCUCAGAUAAAGAUUAAAGAAUCAGAUUUAAUUUAUCAAGCUAUAAACAGCAGUUGGCGCUGGCAUAAAACACCAAAAUCCAAUCAAUCUAUAGAAUCCAUAACCAGAUACUAAGAGAAGAAGAGAAUGCAAAUCUCCAUUAAUUGCAGCACGAUUCUGCAGCAGAAAUAUUUAUUUGUUUAAUUCUUUCCAUGUAUAAAAACUCUACCACUGCCCAUUUUAUUUCCAUGCAAAAACUGCUCUGAUAUUUUUUUUCUUUCUCUAUAUAUACGUCACCAUUCACCUAGAAAAUGGAGAUGAACUCAUAAGGAAGAGCUCAUGGUUGAUCUUUAUUUGUUUUAUAUUUGACGCAUCUGCAAUUUUAUUCUCUUUUUGAAAUCAGAGGCAGGAUUACAUGGCUCCUCCAAAGUUUGGAAAAUUAUAUUUACAUGGAUUUAAAAAAGAAAAAAAUUAUUGGUGUGCCCCUCAAGAAUUUGGAAACUUUUAUCUAAUCCCAACUCAACUCAAUCAAGCUUUAAUCUAAAACUAAUUGGGUCACCUUAUAGACAUCAACACUGUCUAAAGUUCUAAUUUUAUCUUUAGCCCCCACCCUGUUUGCAACUGAAACUGAUGUGAUGAUGCAGCAAUUAGCAUACUCAAUUUGUUUUUUCUAAUGUUAUAAUUUUUUUUUUUAUCACAUAUACAUAUUCUAUUUUUCUUAGUGAAGAGGAAUAGGGAAGUUCAAUUCCAUGCUGCCUUUGUCAAAGAGCAUUUCUGCAAUAAGUCCAAGGUAUAAAGCAGCUUCUGCAGAGUGAACAGCCAUGAUGAUAAUACUUGGCUCAGCAACAGGAGAUUCUUAUGGUCAAAGGAUUCUAAAUGACACUAGUGAUGAGUUUGAAGAUCGCAUUGGAGGUACUGAUCUAUACAGUGGGGUUAUGAAACUCAGAAAAUGCUGUAUUGAGACUGAGAAUCCUUGGCUUUCCAUGGAGUCAUAGGAGGAGAUAAAGAAAACAGUUUUUUGUUAUGACGCUGGCAUCACAACUGCAGACUAUUUUCAAUUUUAUCAUACUUAUCCAAGUGCGGCAUUAUUGUCA